rnacentral:rRNA from 1 species
AUCCGUAGGGUGCGAGCGUUGUCCGGAAUUGCUGGGCGUAAAGCGCUCGUAGGUGGUUUGUCGCGUCGUCUGUGAAAUUCCGGGGCUUAACUCCGGGCGUGCAGGCGAUACUGGCAUAACUUGAGUACUGUAGGGGAGACUGGACUUCCUGGUGUAGCGGUGAAAUGCGCAGAUAUCAGGAGGAACACCGGUGGCGAAGGGGGGUCUCUGGGCAGUAACUGACGCUGAGGAGCGAAAGCAUGGGUAGCGAACGGGAUUAGAUACCCUGGUAGUCCAUGCCGUAAACGGUGGGCGCUAGGUGUAGGGGUCUUCCACGACUUCUGUGCCGUAGCUAACGCAUUAAGCGCCCCGCCUGGGGAGUACGGCCGCAAGGCUAAAACUCAAAGGAAUUGACGGGG